UGACCCAUAAGGCCUACCUGCUUCACUGC
rnacentral:piRNA from 1 species